CACUGCUUCUGUUUGGGUGCAGCCUGGAAGACUUCUAACUUGGGAAGUAAGAAGGGAAGGGGGCAAUUUUGUUUUGUUAAUAAGGUUUUGUUAAUGAGAACUCAAUGGGAAAAUUUAUUUCUAUAGAGCAACCUGAAAGAAGCACCCAUGUAGAUACACAUGCAACUCAGAAUCUCCUCCCUUUUGUGGGCACGGCAGACACAGCCAGGAACCUGAGGAAAGAGAGCUGUCAGAAAGCAGAUCUGAGGCCAGCUGAGCACUAUGGAUAGCCUAACUCCAAAAGACAGACAGUAUUUUGAGCUGAGUUUUCUGGGCAUGGUACAAUCCCAGCAUUUGGGAGGCUGAGGUAGGAGGACUGCGUGAGUUCAAGGCAGCUUGUGCUACAUGGUGAGUUCUAGACCAGCCUGAAUUACACAGCAGACAAUGUUCUUGUUAGGCAGACACAUAUUAAGUUGCUCCUCUGUAUCUGUGAUUCUUCUAUGAUUUCAAAGAAGUGCAAAUUGAAAAUAUUUAGAAAGUAUCGCAUCUGUGCUGUGCAUGUACAGACUCUUUUCCUGUCACUGUUUGCUAAACAAUACAGCAUGACUCCUGCUUUUACAUUUACAUUGUAUUGUCUUUCUGAUUUUCAGAAAUCAGAAUCAGUAUCAGAUGAUACAGCAAGUACUCUAGGGAUGAUUUUAAGUAUGCAGGAGAAUGUGCAUUGGUUAUUUGCAUACUCUGCACAUUUUAUAUGAGACACUUGAGCAUCAAGUAGUUCUGUGUCCUGGUGAAGGAGAAACAGCCCCUUGAGUACAUGCAGGCAAUUGUUUAUAUGCAUAUUGAGUGAUAAAACACUCCAUACCAAAACUUCUGUGCGCAGCCAGGUCAGCAUUUGGAGGGGAAUAAAUAUUUAUAUUAGAGGAGAACAAACAUUCACAUUUAACGAGCAAGGCAGAAAAUUAAGAGAUUAAAAAAAGAAGCUAAGAACGUAGAAGUGGGGAGACAAUAGAAAUAAGGGAGAAAAUGUUUAAAAUAGAAAGUAAAUAUAAAUAUGAAAUAGAGGGAAUUGAGAAAUCUAGCUCCUCCUACAAAACAACAAAGAAAACAGACACACUUAGACAAAGCAUAUGGAGAGAAAAACUGAAAAGACAGAAGUCAUCCUGAGAAUGCAAAUAGGUGUAUGACUGGGGACAGAAAGCUCUUAAACACAGGAGAACUGACAAGGACAAAGCCGUAUCAACAGGGAGAGAUGGAGAAUUAUCUGCCAAAAUGUACACUGGCAAAACUGAAAAUCAGAAAGACUCCAAGGAAAACUCUAGCCAUUUAAGAAGUGGACCUGGCAGUUUUGCUUUUGUUUUUAAUGUACUGUGCUUAGUACUACACCAAAUGCCAGGAACAGAUAUGGCUUUCCAAGAGAAUUCUCCUGAACAUUCACGGGACGGUUCUCCUCUGACACAGAACAUCCCCUGCAACAGAAGGGGGCCUGCACUCUGACUCGCUUUCUGAGGAAGCUUCGUGUUUACACGAAGUCAGAUAGCACAGCACGAGGCAGAGAAGGUCACCUUCCUUCUGGAGGCAGACACGGAAACCCCCACAGACUGGCAGAAUCCCGCAAGGUGUGAAAGAGACAGAUCAUGGCAAAUCAAAUGGAUGAACUGGAACCUAUGCGCGACACAUGGUGUUAACAGGUUAAAAUUCUACACUCAUCCUUGGUACCCACUCGUAGGAAGCUGGAAAUGGAAACACAAGCUCUUAACUUGACAGAAAGCAUUUACAAGAAAGCCUGACAGCCAGCAGCCUAAGUGAUAAAAAUUUAGGGCCCACCCCUAUCUCCUGGCCACCGCAGCUCUCUUCUCUUACGGGUCUGAGGAUUCCGGGUAAUUCAGCCAAGUGGAGCUGUGCACAUGUCCUUCAGUAUCUGGCCUGUCUCGGCUAGCAUAAUACUGUCUCCAUGUCCGUCCAUGUCAUCACAAAUGGCUCGACCCCUCUUUAACCACGGAGUAAUGCUUCAUGGAAUAUGUGGACUGCAUUUAAAUAUUCACCUGUUUGUGGACAUUUAGUUGCUUCUGGAGUUUGGCGAUUGUGAGUAACACCCCAAUUCACUUCGGGGUGUGGACACAUUCUGAGAUUCUGACUUCAGCGUCUGUGGCAACACACCAUAGUGAAUCAUGGGAAUGACACUUUUGGCUUUUUUAGAAGCUCCAUGCUGCUUUCCAUAGUGGCAGCCCCAGUUUAUGAUCCUACCAACACCAUGCAAAUACUUCAGCUUCUCCACAUUCUCACUGAUUAUCUUCUGUCUUUUUUUUUAUAAUAGUGGCUACCAGUCAUCAAAAUAGGCAUGAGCUGUGACCCGUGACCUGUGAGGUUUCUGGUGGCAUUUCCUCAAUGACUGUUCUGUUUCUUCUUUUAUUUCUGUUCUAAUACUUGUUAUUUGUCUCCUGCUCAGUAUAGACUUAAAUUUUCUUCUUUUUCUAAUCCUGUGGGAGCAAAAUUUAGAUUGCUGAUUUGACAUCUUCCUUCCUCUUUAAUGUAGGCAUUUGUUUACAAAAACUUUCCUCUUGGAACUGUUUUUCUUAAUCCCAAAAGUUUUCAUAUGUUGUAUUUUUAAUUUAAAUUGUCUUGAGAUAUUUUUAAAUUUUUCCUUAUUUUUUGACUUGAUGCUUAUGCAAGAGUUGUUUUAUUCACAUAUUUAUGAGUUUUCUGGUUUUUCUUGUUAUUAAUUUCAUUUUUCUGGACAUGUAGCACACAUCUGUAAUCCGAGCACUCAGGAGGCUGAGGCAGGAGGAUCAUUGCAAGUUCAAGACCAGCCUGGGCUGCAAAGUGAGCUCAAGUCCAGCUGAAUUGCACAGCAAGAUCCUGUCUCAAAAAAAAAAAGCAAGCAAGAAAGAAGGAAAAUAAAAAAGACAAUAACAUUUCAUUUUAUUGUGGACUGAAAAGACACUUGAUAUAAUUCAAUCUUCUUAAGUUUGUUAAAGCCUUUUUGUCACCUAAUGUGCUCUCUCCUGGAAACUGCCCCAUUAGAGUUGGAAAAGAGUGCACAUUCUGCUGCUGUGGGAUAAAAUAUUCCACACCCGUGUGUUUGGCCUGCUGCUUCCUGACUGAUUUUGCCCGUGGGCGUUCUGUUCAUUACUGAAAAUGGGGUCUCAGAGCUUCCUGGUUGUAUAGUAUUGUCGGUUUUCUCUCCAGAUCUGCUAACAUUUGUUUCAUAGAUUCAGGCGUUCUGAUGUUUGCAUACAUAUUUACACCUCUUGUACCUACCUGAUGAAUAAACCUUUUCUUCUUCGAGUAA